rnacentral:rRNA from 1 species
UACGUAGGUGGCGAGCGUUGUCCGGAUUUACUGGGCGUAAAGAGCGCGCAGGCGGUCGUUCAAGUCGCGUGUGAAAGCCCCCGGCUCAACUGGGGAGGGUCACGCGAUACUGAUCGACUCGAAGGCAGGAGAGGGUAGUGGAAUUCCCGGUGUAGUGGUGAAAUGCGUAGAUAUCAGGAAGAACACCCGUGGCGAAGGCGGUUCUCUGGGACGGUACUGACGCUGAGACGCGAAAGCGUGGGGAGCGAACAGG